rnacentral:rRNA from 1 species
CGGCGGCUAACUACGUGCCAGCAGCCGCGGUAAUACGUAGGCAGCAAGCGUUGUUCGGAGUUACUGGGCGUAAAGGGUGUGUAGGCGGCCCUCUAAGUUUGGUGUGAAAUCUCCCGGCUUAACCGGGAGGGUGCGCCGAAGACUGGGGGGCUAGAGUAUGGGAUGGGAGAGUGGAAUUCCUGGUGUAGCGGUGAAAUGCGUAGAUAUCAGGAGGAACACCUGCGGUGUAGACGGCUCUCUGGACCAUAACUGACGCUGAGACACGAAAGCGUGGGUAGCAAACAGGAUUAGAUACCCUGGUAGUCCACGCCCUAAACGAUGCAUACUUGGUGUGGGCCAUUCAUUUGGUCCGUGCCGGAGCUAACGCGUUAAGUAUGCCGCCUGGGGAGUACAGUCGCAAGGCUGAAACUCAAAGGAAUUGACGG